UACGUAGGGUGCAAGCGUUGUCCGGAAUUAUUGGGCGUAAAGAGCUCGUAGGCGGUUUGUCGCGUCGAAUGUGAAAACCCGGGGCUCAACCCCGGGCCUGCAUUCGAUACGGGCAGACUAGAGUUCGGUAGGGGAGUCUGGAAUUCCUGGUGUAGCGGUGAAAUGCGCAGGAUAUCAAGGAGGAACACCGGUGGCGAAGGCGGGUCUCUGGGCAGUAACUGACGCUGAGGAGCGAAAGCGUGGGGAGCAAACAGG
rnacentral:rRNA from 1 species